rnacentral:rRNA from 1 species
ACGGAAGGCAGCAGUGGGGAAUAUUGGUCAAUGGGGGCAACCCUGAACCAGCGACGCCGCGUGAGUGAAGAAGUAUUUCGGUAUGUAAAGCUCUAUCAGCAGGGAAGAUAAUGACAGUACCUGACUAAGAAGCACCGGCUAAAUACGUGCCAGCAGCCGCGGUAAUACGUAUGGUGCAAGCGUUGUCCGGAUUUACUGGGUGUAAAGGGAGCGUAGGCGGUUUGGCAAGUCUGAUGUGAAACCCCGGGGCUUAACCCCGGGCAUGCAUUGGAAACUGUCGGACUAGAGUGUCGGAGAGGAAAGCGGAAUUCCUAGUGUAGCGGUGAAAUGCGUAGAUAUUAGGAGGAACACCAGUGGCGAAGGCGGUUUACUGGACGACAACUGACGCUGAGACACGAAAGCGUGGGGAGCAAACAGGAUUAGAUACCCUGGUA